UGNGCAAUCUGCCCUUCUCAUCGGAAUAAGCGUUGGAAACGACGUCUAAUGCCGAAUACGACCUCCUUUCGCAUGAUCGGAGGUGGAAAACUCCGGCGGAGAAGGAUGAGCUCGCGGCCUAUCAGCUAGUUGGUGUGGGUAAUGGCCCACCAAGGCGACGACGGGUAGCCGGCCUGAGAGGGUGACCGGCCACACUGGGACUGAGACACGGCCCAGACUCCUACGGGAGG
rnacentral:rRNA from 1 species